GACGAACGCUGGCGGCGUGCCUAAUACAUGCAAGUCGAACGAACUCUGGUAUUGAUUGGUGCUUGCAUCAUGAUUUACAUUUGAGUGAGUGGCGAACUGGUGAGUAACACGUGGGAAACCUGCCCAGAAGCGGGGGAUAACACCUGGAAACAGAUGCUAAUACCGCAUAACAACUUGGACCGCAUGGUCCGAGCUUGAAAGAUGGCUUCGGCUAUCACUUUUGGAUGGUCCCGCGGCGUAUUAGCUAGAUGGUGGGGUAACGGCUCACCAUGGCAAUGAUACGUAGCCGACCUGAGAGGGUAAUCGGCCACAUUGGGACUGAGACACGGCCCAAACUCCUACGGGAGGCAGCAGUAGGGAAUCUUCCACAAUGGACGAAAGUCUGAUGGAGCAACGCCGCGUGAGUGAAGAAGGGUUUCGGCUCGUAAAACUCUGUUGUUAAAGAAGAACAUAUCUGAGAGUAACUGUUCAGGUAUUGACGGUAUUUAACCAGAAAGCCACGGCUAACUACGUGCCAGCAGCCGCGGUAAUACGUAGGUGGCAAGCGUUGUCCGGAUUUAUUGGGCGUAAAGCGAGCGCAGGCGGUUUUUUAAGUCUGAUGUGAAAGCCUUCGGCUCAACCGAAGAAGUGCAUCGGAAACUGGGAAACUUGAGUGCAGAAGAGGACAGUGGAACUCCAUGUGUAGCGGUGAAAUGCGUAGAUAUAUGGAAGAACACCAGUGGCGAAGGCGGCUGUCUGGUCUGUAACUGACGCUGAGGCUCGAAAGUAUGGGUAGCAAACAGGAUUAGAUACCCUGGUAGUCCAUACCGUAAACGAUGAAUGCUAAGUGUUGGAGGGUUUCCGCCCUUCAGUGCUGCAGCUAACGCAUUAAGCAUUCCGCCUGGGGAGUACGGCCGCAAGGCUGAAACUCAAAGGAAUUGACGGGGGCCCGCACAAGCGGUGGAGCAUGUGGUUUAAUUCGAAGCUACGCGAAGAACCUUACCAGGUCUUGACAUACUAUGCAAAUCUAAGAGAUUAGACGUUCCCUUCGGGGACAUGGAUACAGGUGGUGCAUGGUUGUCGUCAGCUCGUGUCGUGAGAUGUUGGGUUAAGUCCCGCAACGAGCGCAACCCUUAUUAUCAGUUGCCAGCAUUAAGUUGGGCACUCUGGUGAGACUGCCGGUGACAAACCGGAGGAAGGUGGGGAUGACGUCAAAUCAUCAUGCCCCUUAUGACCUGGGCUACACACGUGCUACAAUGGAUGGUACAACGAGUUGCGAACUCGCGAGAGUAAGCUAAUCUCUUAAAGCCAUUCUCAGUUCGGAUUGUAGGCUGCAACUCGCCUACAUGAAGUCGGAAUCGCUAGUAAUCGCGGAUCAGCAUGCCGCGGUGAAUACGUUCCCGGGCCUUGUACACACCGCCCGUCACACCGUGAGAGUUUGUAACACCCAAAGUCGGUGGGGUAACCUUUUAGGAACCAGCCGCCUAAGGUGGGACAGAUGAUUAGGGUG
rnacentral:rRNA from 1 species